CGCGACCCCAGUCAGGCGGA
rnacentral:rRNA from 1 species